ensembl:lncRNA
AUUGUUAACGUGCUGGCUGAAAGAAUCUCCGUAAUGUUUUAAACUAAGUUUUUGCCAGAGACAUAUUCAAUUCGUUGGUUUAAAGCAGUAAUGAAGUUAAACAAUCACCUCUCUCUGGAGUAUGCUGGGAGUGGGUGUGACUAGCAUGAGAGCUGCAUGUGGUGAUUUAUUUGUGUGUUUGGAGUCGGCAUGGCCGGUCAGCAUGGCAGCAGGAGGAUUUGCUGUAGGACAUGUGAUUCGCUCAUGCCCGGAGAGAGCAGGUGAGAGCCGGCCAGCUGCUCACGCAGAGGAUCCGCCGCCCGUUAAAGCCGAAAGCGGAGGCUCGGUACCGGACGGACCGCAGGGAAGCAUGCAGGCCUCGCAGGAGGAAACCCGAGACAAUAGCUAUCUUCGAGGGUGAACAAAACGAACAAGAUGGUGUAACGGAGGAAGUGUUGCCUAAUGAGAAGACGUGUCAAUAGGCAUUGCUGGUGUGAAGAUAAGCCUGCACAAGGACAAGUCUUUGUAACUGACUAGUCAACUUAAUCCUCCACAUGGUAUUCAUAUGUUGCCAUAAAUUUCUGCUACUCUAUGGAUCACACUGAAGUUUGAACAACUUAAUAUCCAUAGCAGCAGUGUACAAGUCAUUUCUUCCUAAUUUGUUUAACUUUUAUUGCAUGUCUAAAUGGAAUAAGUUAUUUGCCAGAUUCAGAUGCUC